rnacentral:rRNA from 1 species
UGGCGGACGGGUGAGUAAUGUCUGGGAAACUGCCCGAUGGAGGGGGAUAACUACUGGAAACGGUAGCUAAUACCGCAUAACGUCGCAAGACCAAAGAGGGGACCGUUCGGGCCUCUUGCCAUCGGAUGUGCCCAGAUGGGAUUAGCUAGUAGGUGGGGUAACGGCUCACCUAGGCGACGAUCCCUAGCUGGUCUGAGAGGAUGACCAGCCACACUGGAACUGAGACACGGCCAG